CAAGAUGAUACGAUGCUUCAAGAAAAGUAAACCAUGGCAUAAACGAGUGAAAACUCUUGAUGACCACAUAAACCCUAGAGCGACAUCGACGACAGUUCUACUAGAUCACACCCAUCUUUCAUAUCUGGUGGUCAAGCUGCUCCCCCUCCUCCUCCUCCUGCUGCUGCUUAUGCAGGAAGCCUCUGCUCUUCCCGCCGUCCGCUCCGCCAGCUCUGUCUUCGCCUCCGUCGCCGCCACGGGCGUCGCGGACGCCGCCCUGGCCCGGUCGGCCGGGCUCGCCCGGUUGUCCUCCCCUGCCGCCGCGACCGCCGCGGCCGCCGCGCUUGCCCGCCUGGCCGACCUUGCCGCCGCAUCCUCCGCUCGGCCCACCACGCCGUUUACGCAACAAGGGCGCUGACAACGGGGGACCGCUCGAUCCGCCGCGCCCGCCGUCCCCGCCGUCCCCACCGUCGCCGCCGCGGCCUCCGUUGCCUCCGUCGCCGCCGUCGCCGCCACGACCUCCGCGCCCUCCGAUGGCGCCAUUGCUGGCGGUGCCACCUUUGCCGCCGUCGCCGCCGCGAGCGCCGAACGCGGAUCCGCCGCGGCCGCCGGGGCCGCCGCCCUGGCCCGGUUGCCCGGGCUCGCCCGGCUGUCCUCCCCUGCCGCCGCGUCCUCCCCGUCCUCCCCUGCCACCGCGUCCUCCCCUGGUUGCCAUUGGUGGUGGGAGGAUUAGCCGCCGGCUCAGAGAGGAUGAGAAGGGGCAAAUAUAUGGCAGACGCGGUGAGGGUUUGCAGGCGCCAAGACGAAGUGAUUUCCAUAACACGCCUUCCGUUACAGGCGCGGCAUUUCCUUCCGACCCUUCUCCUUCCAAUCCUGCGCACUCCCCCCGCCCGCCCGUGUCCGUCCCCGGUAAUCCCGCGCCCUUUCCCCAUUCAUCGCGAGCCGGAUGCGCCAAGAUCAGCACUAAUGUGUGCAUAUGGAUGUUCUUCUACUGGUGCGUCUCCCCUCUCCGCCAUUAGCCGUGUGUCCCCUUCUCCCGCUCUCUAUUUGUUUUACUUGCUACUGCCGCUGGACACCAUGAAGGAGAGGUGGAUUUGCAGAAGGUAUUUAUUUUCUAUCUUUUGUAGAUUAUAUAAUCAAUAUGAAAAAGAAAAGCAGCUUCUGAUAUAAAUUUUUUUGUUAAAUCACUUGUAUCGGAUCUACUUUGCCAGGUUUAGAAUUUUAGAGCAUCUCUAAAAGUUUGCCGUAUUCUACUUGGUAAAUUUUGUGAUUUGCCAACUCUCAAAACUAUUUGCCAAGUAAAAAACAAUAAGAUCUCCAAUAGUUUGCUAUUUCGGACUUGGCAAAAUGAAAAAAAAAGCAAUAGCAGCAUGCAAGCAAGGGAGAAAACCUUAUUUUCGUGGUCAGUACGCAGCAUGCAGGGAGAGGAUUUGCCAAGCCCUUUCCCAAGUUGCCAUAUAUGCGCGGUGAGGGAGGGUUUUUGUCAAGUUGCCAUAUUUUGCCAAGUCAUUUGACAAACUGUUGGAGGGGUGUUUUAAGAGUUUUUGCCAAAAAUUAAGGAUACCAACUCCAUUUGCCAAACGGUUGGAGAUGCUCUUAGAUUUGUGAACCAUCUACGUAUUGUUCUUGGCAAUAUAUUCUUCAGUUGAUGGGCAAAAAUGACAGAUUAUUGAUGUUGGUGAACAACAAUCAAAAUUUUUUUUUGUCGAUGUGAUGUGAUGUUCUGACCAAAGCUCGUAUCUCAUAUGUCGGGCAUUGCAAACACAUGUUGAUAAUGCACCAAUCAUUUUAUUUCCCCUAAAAUGCUUUCUCUCCAAAUGACAGAGAUAAUCAGGAAUGGGUCACACACCUAUUAUAUUCAUUUGAAAGUUCUCGUAAUCUGGUUAUUGUUUGGUGAUAUCCAACAUGUUGAAUGUACACGUUAAGCUUAUUCUUGAGUUCAGGUAAACAUGCACACUAAUUUUUCUACAUUCAUCUUGCCUCUCUUGUCAAUUUGCAAUUCAUUCAGUUCAAGGUAUGUGUUCCUAAAAAUAGAACUGGUGAAGAGGUCUCUCCCACCUACUCUGCCUGCCUUGCUUUAGGUUGCAGGCUAGGUGUUCGAUGGUAUUCUCCUGGGAAGAGGCAAGCUGUAGAAUCAAAGUCUCUUGCUUGCCUGUAGUUAAUUUUUCAUCAUGCUCAAUCGAUUGACCUAUAGGCAAUGGACAUCGUAGCAAAGAUUAUUGUUUUGUAAAUAUUUGUUUCUUCUGCAUCAUGGAAUUACCAACAUGCUAUAUCUAAAAUUUCAUUUGCUUUCAGAAGUCAUCAAGUUGCAGCUAAAGCACUUUAGUUUCGCAAAAACUGAUUGGCCGAGCUUCAGUUGGGAUGACCAGUCCUUUUUCAGGGGCACCAAAGCUAGCAUUGAUUUUGGUGUAGUUUUUGUUUUAACUUGAGCUUCAAUUUUUGCAAGUUGAACCUGUUCUUCCACGUGUUUGUCAAUCUAUCCGAUUAGGAAUGUAGCUAAUCAAACAAGCACAUUAUAUCUAAUGCAUUUGAAGCUUUUGCUUUACAUGGUCGAAAUUAUUGCUUUUAGUCAAAUAUUUCAUGUUCAUUCUCAUAAACUUUAUGUCGACAUGUUGGUUUUAAAUGACUGGUGCAUUAUAUCUGUAGCUUUGCAUAAGGCACUGUUUCACAAAGUUAACUUUUUGUUCAGACCCCUGAAUUUAGUGAUCUCUACUUCUUGGAGGUGAUUCAACAAGAAUUCCUCGUUUUUCCAGUUUUGUAGCUCAUCACAAAUGCAACCAGAUUGGCAAGUAGAUUGUUUCUGAAAUAAGGAUCAUAAUGUCUUAGUAAGGACAACUGAUUAAGAGUUGAACUUGAAUAUUAUUAAGACAUCAUAGCAAAUAAGGAUUACACCUAGACAUUAUUAGCAUGAAGCCUCAGAAUGCAGAACUCAGGUGAAACUCUUUGUGCAGAUAUCUUUGUUUCUUGGCCAUGCUUAUGCCAUUUUCAGUCUUUUCUUGGUUCCCCAUGUCCAGAAGGUAAUUAUGUGUAUAAGGGUUCAUUACUUGAGCCAAAAUAAGGGAGUAAAAUGUAAGCAUGAAUAAAGCAUUUUUGUUCAGAAGUUCAGGUUCAAUUGUUGCCAUUUUCCUAUAUCCUUACAUUGUCACAAAUACGGAUUUAGAUGUCUGUCAUGUCACCUUGUGCUAUAUCCUAUGAAGCUACCCCAUUUUAUAAACUGAUAAGCCUGCUGCAUGUCUAAAUAAAAAAAUUGCCAAAUUUCUCAAAUUUUCAGCCAUAGUGCCAAAUUGAUGGGAGGAAGAAGAAACAUGAUAAUCUGUCCGAUAUGAAACUUCCAGAACCAAUAAAGGUGCAAAAUCGAUGGGAGGAAGAAACAUGUUAAAAAAUAUUGUUUCCAUUUACACAGUUCGUUUAUGGUCUUGGGAGCGGUGUAUCUCAUAGAUUGUUAUAUCAGGAAUAUUGUUUUCAUUCUCAAUUUCGUUAGUUUAGCUAAAAUCUUACCCUAAGUUACAUUAGCAUAGUGUUAUAAUGUGCUAUGAUGUCCGCUUGCACAGCUCUAAAUAUUCAUUUUUUAUAUAACUGAGUUACAUUAGCUAUUAGUCCACUGUUUCGUGCUGUAGUUGGUGUCAUGCGAGAACCGCGCAUAGCACGGAUGGUAGGAGCUGGUGGCUGGCUUCCUACCGGCCAGCGUUCGAGUCCUGCUCGGCGCUAGUUUCUCACCAAAAAAAUCCCCUCGCCUGCUCCAUGUGCCAAAGCACAGUUGGGUCCGACCCUGGUCGCUGAUCCCCCGAUGUGCGUGGAUCGCCCAUUCUCACGGGUUACGGGCACUGUGUAUGGAUGGGGCAGGGGUUCGGAGGUUUUCUCGGCCUGUGUGAGAAAGGUCUUCUUUCUUUCGUGAAAAUGCCGUGGGGGCGGUCUUUCCCCCCACAGGUCGAGUUUUUUAUUUUAAUUGGUGUCCUGCGUUCUGCAACAGACGAUUCAGUUUUUCAAUAUAUUCAGUUAAAGUGCUUAUUAGGUACAGCACUGGAGGCAUCUUUCCUGCUACAUGGUUGAUUCCAUAAAUGAUGAUAAUCCAUUCCGUGGCAACAAGACAAAUUAUUUGACAUGAAUGAAAACUUACUAAUCAUGGUUCAUCUAUUUGGAAUGCCAAUAUGUUGAUUAAUUCGGUGUGCCUUUUUUAAUCUGCAUGUAGAAAUUAGUAAUCAUGGUUCAUGUUCGCAUUGUUUGGAGGCUGUGGGAGGCAUGGGGGAGUUAUUAUGUUGAGAAUCGUCGAGCUGAUAUAUGAGCUAGAAAAAGUCAAGGUGCUAAAUGACGUUGGAGAGGAGGAAAAAUAGUAUGCCUUGUGCUGCCACAGUGAGAAGUGGGCUAUUACAUGAAAGGAUACUACACUCUGCAAGCUCACUUAUCUUGUAAGGUUACUACAGAUUUUACUUGCUUGUGCCAUUUUAAGGAAAAGAAAGUAUGGUUUCAUGGCUUCAUUGCAUACCAGUGGGUAAAGAUGUGAACCUGUUGUAUCUAAAUCAGAAGUUGUUUAUCAGCGUUUUAGGAUUCCUCCAUCAAGCUCCUUCAAAGAGUCAAGCACUUCCCGUGGACAGCAAUUAAUUGCUGUAUCUUAGAGCUGAUAUAGUGGCAUGGUUCAUGAUAAGUUCUGCAUCCUGCAAUGGAAUUUGUGCUUUGUGAAUUGUCAUGGAUUCUACCUAUUCUGUUCCUGUACUGCUGGCGGAGGAAUUGAGGUAUGGUGAAAUCCAAUACAUACACGGCUGCAGCCAUGAGCCAUGGCGCCCAUCACAGGGUAGAAGAUUUUCUUCGGCUUCUGGAACCUGUACUCUGGUUUGUUGAUUGCUCAUAUAAUAAUGAGGAUGAACUGAGAAAACUUGAGUUGCAUGUGUACUUGAGGUAAUGUUAUGUUCGAGGGGCAUCAAAACAAGAGGCGAAUAACCAAGGCAACAGAAAAUUGCUUUUCAGAUAACUAGCACUAGAGUUCCUUGUAUGUGCUAUAUUUCUUCUAAAGAAAUGUCCUUAUCAUCUCCUCUGUUUUCAUUUGAACUCCGAAUCAAAUAUUGUAAUGUGAGCACUCAGGAUAAAUUGUUCAGCUUUUCCAACUUAACCGAAUAGUCAAUCAUACUACUGUAUGCCUACUUGGCUUCGUUUGUAUAUGCUCUGCGGCUCCUUUAAUAGUGAUUGACGUUCACACUUAA